rnacentral:rRNA from 1 species
UACGUAUGGGGCGAGCGUUGUCCGGAAUCAUUGGGCGUAAAGGGUUCGUAGGCGGUUUAUUAAGUCGAGUGUGAAAGGUUGGGGCUCAACCCCAUAAAGCACUCGAAACUGAUAAACUUGAGAUGUGGAGAGGAAAGUGGAAUUCCUAGUGUAGCGGUGACAUGCGUAGAUAUUAGGAGGAAUACCAGUAGCGAAGGCGACUUUCUGGACACAAACUGACGCUAAGGAACGAAAGCGUGGGGAGCAAACAGG